UACAGAGGUGGCAAGCGUUGUUCGGAUUUAUUGGGUGUAAAGGGCAGGUAGGUGGUCGCGCAAGUCCGUUGUGAAAUCCUAGGGCUCAACCCUAGAACUGCAAUAGAAACUGCGCGGCUUGAGUACUGGAGAGGUGAGGGGAAUUCUCGGUGUAAGGGUGAAAUCUGUAGAUAUCGAGAGGAAUACCAGUGGCGAAGGCGGCAUCCUGGACCAUUACUGACGCUGAUGCGCGAAAGCUAGGGGAGCAAACGG
rnacentral:rRNA from 1 species